AAGUCGUAACAAGGUUUCCGAAGGAAAAUCAGGGAUUGAAUCACCUGUAAAACCACCUCGAAGCCUUGAAAACCAGUCUUUAGCUUAUACUGUAAGCUACAAAGGCAACACCGGCCUGUUGCUGGGAUUUUCACUUUGUGAUUACCAGCAGCCAUUAAUACAUUUUAAUGGUUCACAGAUCAAACGUCGGUGGCUGUUUAUAGUUGAAAUAUGACCGGUCAUAUCUAUAACUGGAUAUGAGACAAACGUUCCGUAGGUGAACCUGCGGAAGGAUCAUUACUGAGUGAUUGGGCCCCGCCCAAACCUCCACCCAUUGUAUACCUUACCUCUGUUGCUUCGGCGGGCCCCCGGGGUUACUCCCGCCGUUGGCUUCGGCUAACGAGUGCCCGCCAGAGUCCACUAAAACAUCUAUUUUUUCUGACGUCUGAGUAAAAAAUUAAAUAGUAAAAAACUUUCAACAACGGAUCUCUUGGUUCUGGCAUCGAUGAAGAACGCAGCGAAAUGCGAUAAGUAAUGUGAAUUGCAGAAUUCAGUGAAUCAUCGAAUCUUUGAAACGCACAUUGCGCCCCCUGGCAUUCCGGGGGGCAUGCCUGUUCGAGCGUCAUUACAACCCUCAAGCCUAGCUUGUAUUGGGUGUCUGCCCCUGGGGCACACCUGGAAAGCAGCGGCGCGGCGGCCGGUCCUUCGACGUAGUAAUUACUUUCGUGAGAGGAUCCGGGCGUCCCAGCCGGAUACCCCCCCAUACCUUCAAUGGUUGACCUCGGAUCAGGUAGGGAUACCCGCUGAACUUAAGCAUAUCAAUAAGCGGAGGAAAAGAAACCAACAGGGAUUGCCUCAGUAACGGCGAGUGAAGCGGCAACAGCUCAAAUUUGAAAUCUGGCCUCGCGGUCCGAGUUGUAAUUUGUAGAGGGUGUCUCGGGUGCGACUUUGGUCUAAGUCCCUUGGAACAGGGCGUCAUAGAGGGUGAGAAUCCCGUAUGCGACCGAUGGUCAACCCCAUGUGAGACCCCUUCGACGAGUCGAGUUGUUUGGGAAUGCAGCUCAAAAUGGGUGGUAAAUUUCAUCUAAAGCUAAAUACCGGCCAGAGACCGAUAGCGCACAAGUAGAGUGAUCGAAAGAUGAAAAGCACUUUGGAAAGAGAGUUAAACAGUACGUGAAAUUGUUGAAAGGGAAGCGCUUGCAACCAGACUUGUCCGAGGGUAAUCAGCCGUCCUUCGGGGCGGUGCACUUGCCCCCGAUCAGGCCAGCAUCGGUUUUGACGGUGGGACAAAGGCCCCGGGAACGUGGCUUCUCUCGGGAAGUGUUAUAGCCCGGGGUGCAAUGCUGCCAGUUGGGACCGAGGACCGCGCUUCGGCUAGGAUGCUGGCGUAAUGAUUGUAAGCGACC
rnacentral:rRNA from 1 species